rnacentral:rRNA from 1 species
CGGACGGGUGAGUAGUGUCUGGGAAACUGCCUGAUGGAGGGGGAUAACUACUGGAAACGGUAGCUAAUACCGCAUAACGUCGCAAGACCAAAGAGGGGGACCUUCGGGCCUCUUGCCAUCGGAUGUGCCCAGAUGGGAUUAGCUAGUAGGUGGGGUAAAGGCUCACCUAGGCGACGAUCCCUAGCUGGUCUGAGAGGAUGACCAGCCACACUGGAACUGAGACACGGUCCAG